CUGGGUGGCGCCUCAGCGCCGGCAGCCGCCGCCCCCGAUCCCUCCGAGAGCACUGAGGAGGGGCGGCCCGCGGGGCUCAGGUGAGCCCCCUGAGGGCAGGGCAGGGCUGGGCUGCGCGGCCACAGACCGCGGCCACACCUCGGCACCCCGGAAAGCGGCCUGAGGGUGGUAGGGCGGUGCCCUGGAGGAAGGCUGCAGAGGUUCCAGAUGGACUCCCGUGCAGUGCUGGCAGUUGGCGUGCUGUAGCGGCGGUGAUGUCCCGUUUCCCGCCACUUGACCGAUCGUCUUCUCUCACAGAUCUGGGCUUUCCAGAGGAGCUUCUUGGGGAAAGUGGUAAGCACAUGUUCUGGAGCUGCGAGCAGGAGACUUUCUGAAGCAGAUACACAGUGGCAUGGAUACUGUGCAAGAAACCCUC
ensembl:lncRNA